GGUUCGAUGGUGUAGUUGGUUAUCACGUCUGUCUCACACGCUCAUGGUUGAGCGGUGAUCACAGGAGGUCCCCGGUUCGAGCCCGGGUCGAACCA